rnacentral:rRNA from 1 species
GCUUAAUUUGACUCAACGCGGGAAAUCUUACCGGGUCCGGACACACUGAGGAUUGACAGGUAUUAUAUAGCGCGCUUGCGCGUCUAUUGUUAAAUAUGCUAGUCCUUUCAUGAUUAUGUGAUAGGUGGUGCAUGGCCGUUCUUAGUUCGUGGAGUGAUCUGUCUGCUUAAUUGCGUUUCAGAUAAGGAUCUAUAUUCUUUACAGAAGUGUUGCGUAGUGC